AGCUCCGUCUGCAAUUCGUAACUGGCCGAAAACGAGUCGGAUUGGAGCAACUACACCUAAAAACAAAGCUUACGCACACAAUUCUGUGGGAGCUGUGAUGUUAGCGUUCUGCGGUUGAGCAGUGCUAUCUGUGGUAGAAGCGGUGUUUCAUGUUUGGAAGCGUGGUCACUGCAUUGGUUUGUUUUCGUAGCAAUGACUGAAAGCAUGGCAUUGUUUUCGUAACAUUUGUGGCGGAAAUCUUGUUCUCACUGUCAUAUGCGAUUCGGAUUGUUAUUGAGCAUCUGCUCAAAAUGCCACGCAAGUGCUGUAUGCCCUAUUGUAGGGGAAACUACGACAACGGUUUAAAAGUUAGCGUCUUUUCAUUCCCGUCUGAUGAAGCAUUAAGAUUGAAACGGAUCGCUGCAGUUCAUAGGAAAGACUGGGAACCCAGUAAACAGUUUGUUAUAUGUGAACUACAUUUCACUGCAGACGACAUUGAGAAAAUUACCAGUGCUUACGACCCAAAACUGGCAAACUCUUUACAGCACUUUUGGACCGCCCACGUUUAAAGAAACGUUCGUGAAAAUUUAUCGUAAAGGGUACUUGUAAUCAGUUUACAGAUUAAAGUACAGGUUCCUUAAUUUUCUUACGAUAUUGUUAAAUAUCUAAGAUCAAUAAACAUUGCUAUACGACUCUCUCUCUAUUUGCGGAUGCUGUACCAUCAAAGUUGCCAGGAUGGCCUACGUAUUUAUCUUCAAAACAAGCACCAGCUCCAGAAGAUCCAGAGGGUCGCGAACGUUUGGGGAACCAAGCACUUGAGAAAGUCAUUGAGCAGAGUGUGGAAUCACACAAAAAAUGAUGGAGAAGAGUUCAUUUCCUAGUUUAGAAGAUUUUAAAUCAAAAUUAUCUGAUUGUGAAAAGCACAGUGACUGGGUCACGGGUGUUAAAGGAUGCUCCUUAUCUAAGUGUUGUGUGUCAUGUCGUUAUAAAUAGUGAUUUAGUGUUAAGUGCAUUUGUGAAGGAAGCUGAGCUAAAUUGUGCUGGUAAGAUUAAAUUAUCAAACCAAGUAAGUGAUACUGGUACAGUUAGCAAUAUUUUGAAAGAGUUGUAUAUGAUGUUUCAUAUAAACGAGGCUCCAUUUGAGGCAAGUUUGUCUUGCAUUGAAAACAUUUUGGAAAACUUGUAAGAAAAAUUACCAGAAAGUGAGCAUAAAAUUAAAUUUUUGAAGGAACAAGUUUCAUUUCCAAGAUUUAAUAGUCCAACAGAGAUUAGGUACGGAAGUGUUUCAAUGAUUUUAUGGUCAUUAGCUUAUUCUAUCAGGCCACAUGCAUAUUGGUUUUUGAUGAGUGCUCAUAAUUUUUCCAUUCCAAGUCCCAGUACUUUGUCAAAACUUUGCAGUAAACUUCCAACUAACCCAAUCAUUGAGCAUCAGAGUGAGCAGUUUCUCAGUUACAUACCACAAAAAGUUGGUGCUUUAUCUGUGAAUGAUAAAACUGUCCUGUUGAUGGAUGAGAUUUAUUUAAAGUCACAACUUGCCUAUAAAGGUGGCAAUGUUGUAGGUGGUGCUUUUAACACAGAUGUGGUUUUGUGUGCAACUAGUGCUUAUGUUUUUAUGAUCCAGAGUAUGGAUUCAGUGUACAAAGAUGU